AAAAAAUUAGUUAAAAUUAUAACAUUAGUAUGUCAAACUAAAAUUAUUAAAUUAUUUAGUAUUUUUUA
rnacentral:tRNA from 1 species